AAAAAAAAACAACAAAAGAAAAUAAAAGAAGAGUCAAAAAAUAAAUAUAAAAAGAAUUUGAAGAAGAAGCAACACUUGCUGCAGUAAAAAUAUAAGAAUAAAAAUAUAAGAAGGAUACAAAAACAAGAAGGGGUAAUUGCUUAAUUAUGUACCCGUGAAAAUUUUCUGACUUUCUUAUUUACCUCUUUUAAAAGGCUAAUAUUAAAAAUAUACUUUUAAUGUUCCAUUUUAUUUCAAAUAUACUCUUAGGGUGCGUUUGGUUCGCACUAUGAAAUAUUACUAGGAGUAAAAAGAUAUCCGAAAAUCUUAUUCCUAUUCAUCCUAUUACUAAGAAUAUAGUAUUUCGGUAUUUGGUUCGUACGGUAAUAUCAUUUAGUCAUGUUAUUUAAGAUUACGAAAAAUAUACAAUUAAUUAAUUAAUUAAUUAAUUUAAUU
rnacentral:lncRNA from 1 species